rnacentral:rRNA from 1 species
UAAGCGGAGGAAAAGAAACUAACAGGAUUCCCCUAGUAACUGCGAGUGAAGCGGGAAAAGCUCAAAUUUAAAAUCUGGUGGUCUUUGGCCAUNCGAGUUGUAAUUUAGAGAAGCGUCUUCCGCGCUGGACCGUGCACAAGUCUCCUGGAAUGGAGCGUCAUAGAGGGUGAGAAUCCCGUCUUUGGCAUGGACACACCAGGGCUUUUGUGAUGCGCUCUCGAAGAGUCGAGUUGUUUGGGAAUGCAGCUCAAAAUGGGUGGUGAACUCCAUCUAAAGCUAAAUAUUGGCGAGAGACCGAUAGCGAACAAGUACCGUGAGGGAAAGAUGAAAAGCACUUUGGAAAGAGAGUGAAACAGUACGUGAAAUUGUUGAAAGGGAAACGCUUGAAGUCAGUCACGUCGACCGAGACUCAGCCUUGCCUCGGCUUGGUGUACUUCUCGGCUGACGGGUCAGCAUCAAUUUUGCCCCUUGGAUAAUGGCGAAGGAAAUGUGACACCUUUAUGGUGUGUUAUAGUCUCUCGUCGCAUGCAAGGGUUGGGAUUGAGGAACUCAGCACGCGCCCUUUGGGUGUCGGGGCUUUGCCCACGAUACGUGCUUAGGAUGUUGGCAUAAUGGCUUUAAACGACC